rnacentral:rRNA from 1 species
UACGGGGGGGGUAAGCGUUGUUCGGAAUUACUGGGCGUAAAGGGCUCGUAGGCGGCCAACUAAGUCAGACGUGAAAUCCCUCAGCUUAACUGGGGAACUGCGUCUGAUACUGGAUGGCUUGGAUUCGGGAGAGGAAUGCGGAAUUCCAGGUGUAGCGGUGAAAUGCGUAGAUAUCUGGAGGAACACCGGUGGCGAAGGCGGCAUUCUGGACCGGCAUUGACGCUGAGGCGCGAAAGCCAGGGGAGCAAACGGG